UAAGGAGGGUGGAAGCAGUUAUCGGAAUUACUGGGAGUAAAGCGUGCGUAGGCGGCUGCUUAAGUCAGAUGUGAAAGCCCCGGGCUUAACAUGGGAACGGCAUUUGAUACUGGGCAGCUCGAGUUGAGUAGAGGAGAGGGGAAUUUCCGGUGUAGCGGUGAAAUGCGUAGAGAUCGGAAGGAACACCAGUGGCGAAGGCGCCUCUCUGGACUCAAACUUACGCUGAGGUACGAAAGCGUGGGUAGCAAACAGG
rnacentral:rRNA from 1 species